UUGUGGAACUUCAAAGUAGUCGACAGUCGUACGAAUGCUUGAACCAGGAUUUGGAGAAGAAUUUCAGGGGUUCAUAAAUCUGGAAUAAGUUUCUGUGGUUGUGGAUUUGUAGAUUGAAUGAUUUCGUGGAGCGCGAUUUUCGUGAUGUGUAGAAGCUGAGCAAAUUGGCGCCAUGACAGCAAAUUCAUGUAGUAUAUCCAUACAUCUAUAGAUUGAAAGAAUCCACAACGACCUUUCCCUUUCCUCGACAGUCGACAGACACCAGCCCGCCCUUGCUAUUCUCCGGGCGAUGGAAGCUCGUCGCUGGCAGACAAUCUGCGGAAAUGCAGUAUCCAGACAGACAAGCAUCAGAUUGAACAAGCAUACACACAGCUCGUCAGCUCGUCGUUAAAAUCAGCCCCGCUGAAUAACAGUCUGGAGAAGAUGUGAGCAGCCAGCCAGACGAUACUUCACACGGAGCUUGUACUGUUUGCAGAGAUGCUGAAUCGCAAUCGCGAACGUUGAUAGAAGAACUAGCGUUUAUCGAGAAGAAGAUGAAACAUCUAGAGCAGGAGGAAACACAACUGGAACAGGAGUAAGCAGGAUAUAAUAUUACGCAAAGGGUGCCGACCACACAGGGGCCGUAGUUCCAGUUCAACGUGGACAAGAACACCUGAUCCGUCGAUGGCCAGGCUGAUAACCAACUGCAGAAUUCCCGUGUUCGCGCAUUUCCCAGUGAACAGGGAGCGGAGCCGUGCUAUUACUGGGAAAACAUCCAAAUGCGGCGAACUGCGUCACCCUGAUAGUCAGCUUCACGGGGAUGCUGCUGGCGGCGGCAAACUGCUCAUCGAUCGGGAGGAUCUGCUGUCCGGCGGGGAGUCGGAGACCGGCGGAUUCGUCGGGGCAGUGUACAAGAUAUAGUUGGCAUUCCAUGGCCAUUCGGCGUAUCGUGCGACAAAUCCAGUAAAUGUGCACCUGAGCAGGAACACGCCUGUUACAUUUUUGCUUUGUAAGGCUAAACCGAUGAAUUUAGUCGAACGUCCAGCUGUCCGCGCGCCGACAUCACCGACUCCAUCCAGCCAGAUGAUGAAGUACCGCGCCAUUCAGUCCGGCGACUGCAGUGACGCGCAGAAGCGGAGCGAGAGAGGACCGCAAUCCACCCAGAUACCGUACAUUGAAGGCCGACGAGAUCAAGAAAAAAACAACCUGCCGAAACAGUAUCCGAAAACUGCCUGAUUUCGUCGUUCACAUCCACCGAUGUUUGUUCCUGGCUAUCUCGACACGAGCAAGCGAUCCAUCGUACAGAUUCAUUAACCAGUACUCCCGCCUGUUAAUUAGGAAUCCGUGACAUUACAACCUGGAAUGCUGCCAUCAAAAUUGUCGGGCUCGAACGUCCCGGAAAUGGAGCAACAGCACAAGAAGAUCGGCGGUGCGGUGCGCAACUCAAGAAGUCCUGAAGACUUCCGUAUCCUGGAGGUUGCGGAUAUUGGGGCAAUGCGAAAAUCAUUCAUUCAUGAAACAAAAUAUCCAAGCGGUUGAUGUGGAGAUAUGCGGGUAAAGAUGGAACCGAAAUCGGAGACGCCGACACUUGUUAAUCCAGCCUAAAGAAAAAACACCAUAGUUGUAUCGCCAGCUCAAAAUAAUGAUGCGCCGAUUGCUGUUGAACCGACUGCAACAGAAGUUAUGCAAAAUCAAAAAACUGUUAACGUAGCCUUAAUUUUACACGUUGCUUUUUUACCUAAUUCUAAUUUUUGCUCUGUAUUUGUUACGCAAGUCAUCGAAUUCGAUUGAC